GAUUUCCUGGGGUGUUCGAGAGCCCUGUUAUUUUGAACCUACAUUUACGUUUAUGGGAUUCCAAAAUCGCAAGUUGGAUGUCACGCCUCCGUCCCUACCGGACGCCAGUGGAAGGCUGAAUACUUGUUGAGGUUACCCACCUAGCUCAUGGCUAGGCGUCAAAAUACAGGGAACGGCACUUUGGGAAACGG
rnacentral:other from 1 species